GUAUGGUUCUGUUACGCUGCUCGUCUGCCAUCCUCCCUCUCACGAUCUUCACGCUCUCUUUCCCUGUCAUUCUCUCUUGCUCGGCUGCCGCUGUAAUGCCUUCCAUUCCUCUCUAGUGCCCUUCUCCUACUCUAGUCCAGACCAAGAACUUCAUACUAUAGGCCUGGAAACAUUUAAUUCCACCCCCACUACGCAGUCUUCAACAGAGCCCACCCCUAGAAGCCCUGUAACUGUAUCCCAUCUGUUUCCUAUGUUGCUGACCGCCUGCACUAAUUGCAAUUUAGCAGGGCAGCGAGGCUCCUCCCUUUUUCAACAGUGUCUGACUUGGAAUUUUCAAUUCCCCCCCCAACUGGAGGCCAGACCUGUUCAAUUACUAGCAGCAACAGGCCCAACCCCGACGCCCCUGACUGACGCCCAUGGUGCAUGGCAAGGGAGGAUCACGGGUUUAAAAAAAUUAUUAUUAUUUUUUUUUUAUAGGGAAGUUUGCACAGAGUUCAGAUUUAAAGCCUGUUUUUAAGUGAAGAUGUCUUCAGGCAUACAUGUUAUGUACCAUACUGGAUACAGCAUAUAUGCUAGACACACAGCCUGACACGUGAUGAAUUGGUUAAUCCACAGAGCUAAUUGAGAUGUACAGUAAUGGAUCAAGCCAUCUAUUGAUGGUGUAGUGAUACAGUACAUUGCUUCCCAAUGGAAUGCACUGACUUUCCCAGUGGAAUAGGUUGACAUUUUGAUGGAAUAAAUUGGCAUCAAGGAGGCAUAUCAAACUAGCAGCUCAGUGAUGAGGAAUAGGGCAUGUUUGGAAUUAGUUGAGUAAUUCCCCAAACCUCUCUCUAACCUCCCCCAGAACCCCCCUGUUCUUACCCCCAUCAGAAAACUGACAAGACCUACAAAUGACAGCGAGCCGAUCUAUUCCCAGUCCUUACAGCCUGCUCCACUCUGUCGCGCUAUUUAGGUCAACGGCACUGUAGGUCCAAGAUAAUCCCAAGAUUGCCACCUUAUUUUAAGAAAGUUGAGAGAAUUUCGAGUUCACGAUGAGGGAAAAACUCUAAAAAUGGCUCAGGUUGGUUGUCCCAGAGGGACGCUAGCUGUCCUUGUGAUAGAUGGCCCCUUCAUCCAGGCCUUAUGCCCCAUCUCUAAGAGCCUCCCACCCCAGUCCCUUCACCGGCACUGGAGGAUGAGAGGCACUGGGGAGGGAUCCACUCCUCGCUGCUCUAUGCCCGCUUAAGGCUGGGGUCGGAGCCCUCCUCCCUGGAUGCGCUCUGCCCCUCUACCUCUGCUUAUAGCUUCUUAAGCUUUUUGCAUGUCACCACUGCUGGAGCCAAAAAGUAGUUUUUAUUUUAGGGACUAUCGUAAUAUGCAUGUAUUCUUAUUUUAUUUUUUUCAUGGUUUGUUUUCUGGAACACAAUUUCGUUAGUGUUUUAUAAAAGUAGCCUACAAUGUGUAGACUUGGACAGUAUAGCAAGAGUAUUAAACUUAAGCCAGACUAGAUGGCCAGAAACUGAAUCUGUCCUAUGUAGUGCUAGGAUAAGUCAAAAUCAGUCAGCUAAUCACACAGUGAGGGAGAUGGGCCUUGGAGCUAGAAUAAAAUCACUAAUUGGAAAUGACACUGCUGUACCCAAUGGAAUUUGAUCUCUUAUCAUAUGGUGACUCCUUUUCUCUGCAGCAAAAAUAUUUCACUGUGUUCAUGCUUUUGUGAAUAGUAGUACUAGUAUCAUUUUUAACAAUACCAGAUUGUAGGCUUACCACCUCGGGAAUCGAUGCACAAGUGGAAUGUGACUUAAACGCGCAAUAUCCUCAUACCUUCACGUGUAUACCUAAAAUGCACUUCUAGUCCUUUUUUAAAGGUGUCUAGCUCUUUCUUGUCUAGAGGAAAACCUUUUCUUGAUUUAGCUAAGCUGUGAUCCCUACUGGAAGGCUGUGUCUUAUCAAGUAAACUAUUUGACUCAUCUGCACAGUGCCAAAAUGAUUGAGCUGAUUUACACUUUCUCAUCUUGAAGAAAUGCCUCCCUUUUUUGAGUCUUCCUGCCUGACAUAUUUUGGGAUGUGAGACGUUUGUUGGACCAUGUUCAAUAGUCCAUUUAAAACGGGGAUUAGUAAUGAGUGUCCCUUUUUUUUAAAAUUAUUUUUGUAUUUUUUUGAAUCCCACACACUUUAGCACUCAACUCCAAUUACUGUGGGGAGUAGAUGACGUAAUAUAAUAACCUCUGUAUCUCUAACAACUGAGGACCACACAAAGUGAUGUUCUCAUCAGAGGUUGAAUGAGUAUUACAAAACCGUGUUUGACAGUUUCUUAUCAUAUGUUUUUUGGGUCGUGUUUGUGAUUCCAGUCAGGGAGUGUGGGCUCCCUGUUGCCAGUGGCUCUGAUUCCUGUUCACGGUGCGGUAGCUGUUUUGUAAUUUGUUUACUUGCGUCGAGCCAAAAUACUACAUUGUUUUCGGCUAGAUGGAAAGUCCAUCCGUGUAUGUGGCCUAGUUUGAACAAUGCAUAAUGGAUCUCAAUGGGAGGUGAAGGUCCAGACCAAGACAUCCCACCCUUGAGUUGUGUACUGAUGAACAACAUGUCCGCGGUGCUGUGGGUUUAGGGUGGCUGCAGGGUCAUGCUGACCGGCCACAAUGCCUAUACAGAGCACCAAGCUACAAUAACAGGAUACUAUUAACUCGUUGACGUAAGCUGUUGGGUAGUUUAUCAAAUGUACUAUAGCAUUGGAUUUGAAAAGAAACGGAGCCAUUGAUUUGGAUCUCUUGGCUCCAUUUUAUAGUAAAUAACCAUAUAGAAGGAGAAGUGGACCUUGUUGCAUUUGGAAAAAGUACCAACUGCAUAUUUGACCUGUUCCUGCCGGAGAUAUUGCCUCAAAGCAGGGGACCUUAGUCUCUGUUUGCCUGGGGAUUGCAGAGGCAAGCAGACAGCUGAUGUGUACCUCCCAAUAUAGCUGCCAAUUCUCCACUAUGAUAGCUUGUCUCAGGGUGUUGGAAAAUUACAGGGGGGGGGACCAUUAGGCUGAAAAGGGAUCAUGUGAUUAUUGGAGCAGCUUGGAACAUCUUGCGGAUUAUGACCCAGGAUACCCGUGGUACUGUGCCAUUGAGGGGGAUCCUUGUUUGACUCUGUCACUUCAGCUGUGGCGUGUGGGAAUAGCAGCAGGUCAGCGUGCUUAGUGGCGUAUUGACAGACUGUAGCACAUGGGGGGACAUGAUUUAGGAAGCCUCAACACCAGGACUAUUGUCCAGCUUGUUAUGUGUGCUGUGUUAGCUGGGUGUUCUUAUUGAUUACACCGAUAGUCGGGUGGGACAAGGCCAGAGUAGUGCGACGUAGUCAUGCUUGCAAAUUGGUCUGUAGGUCAUCUGAGGAUGAGGCUAGUCCUGUAAAUCAAUGAUUUAAUUUCACUCCGGUUAUAUUUUUGAGUCGGAGGUAGUGCACUGUAUUCAUUCCUGGGAUGAGUCAUCUCAGUACAUUAAAGAUGUUGAAUUGUCGUUCUUCUGUUUGAUUGAUAUCGUACCUAAUUUACAAGAUUAUGGUAUGACGCUUAAACAUGAUUAUAUUGACAUUGCGUUACUUACAGACAUCUGCAUUAUUGAAGACACGAGGAAGAGUGUUCCCCUUUGUAUGUAGGCCUAUAGGUUGUGUUCAGAUGGGCGCUCAUUUGGUAAUCAAAUGAUUUAUGUUAAUUAGGUCAUUAUAGAAAUAACACUUUUUUAAAUUUAACUCUCGUUUAUACUAGGCUGCAGUCGCAUGACAUUAGUCUCUGGCCCAUUUUAAAAGGCAUUGCAAGUUAAAACAGGGAGCAUUUAUCCUAUGUGACCUUUGCUUCUAGGCACAUUUUAUAUCUCGUCCCUGUUGUCACAUUCAGUUCUAUGAUUCCCUGUAGUCUUUUAUGUUGGUGUUCGGGAGAUGUGAAGUGACGGCUCAACGGUUCUCAGUAAGGUCGUUGAUAUUAACCAGAUAGAGGAAGGAUAGAUUGAGUGUACCAGUCCUUUCUCCAUCACAAGUACUUUUGUAGGACAUACCAGACACAGAGUACCUGAUUUUUAACAAAACUCCAGGCCAUAUUCUAUGCAGCUGUACUUAAAAAAUAUAUUCAUAGCAAAAGAUCUGAUUGUGAUGUAAGUAGACCACAAUGCAUAUGCUAUCACACAGUAUAACAGUUUUGUUUCUAGAUACAAUUUUCUUAUUUCAUUUGGAGCUGCAUCAUUUUGACCAUACAAGUCAUUUCCAAUGUUGCCUUAUUGAAAAUUCUCUUCAAUGGCAACAACUUGAGACGUUGAGUCAGCAAUGCAUGCUGACUGACGCCCUCAUCCAUUACUGACUUCAAACCGUCCCAUGCUAUGCAUGACUGCUUGGGCUGCAACAAAAUGGCCUCCAUCGACUAUAACUGGAAGUGCAUGGGAGUUUGAGUGUGUAUGAUUUUUUUUUAUUCCCUCCUCCUUCCCUUCCCUGCCUCUGUGCAUGGCCGACGCAGACAUAAGGGUGGUGCUGGGCUCUGACACACCCUCCUCAGAAGGGGUGGCCACCUCCCUUCGCUUCGCCAGGCCUUCUCAACCCGACUCAUCUUCUCCCGCUAACUACGGGAGCGACCCAUCAGGUCAGCCUGACGGAAAGCAAGAUGAUUCACCGACUGUGACGUCCCCCGUGUCUGAGAGGAUUAAGGCACUGGAGGCCCUGGCAGCAAAGAAGGAGCCCAAGAACGACGGCGGCUUCCCUCACUUCAAAGAGUGCCACUAUGAGACGUCUCCUACUGAGGCGCCAACAGAGAGCACCUCACCCUUCCAGAAAAAAGGAGCCUCCAUUGAUCAGGAAUCGCCAGAAUCCCCCUUUGAGGUCAUGGGAGAAGCCCGACAAGGGAGUGAGUUUGAAGAUAGUGCAGACUGGAUGAGAGCUCACUUACCCCCUGUGCCCGACUUUGAAGAUGCUCUUGUAUCAGAGGAGGAUGGCAAAUCCCAAGAGCUAAAAGUGGCAGAUAAAGUGGUGCCUGAUCAUCCAGAGGCGUUUGCCUGUGUCCCUGAUGCUUACAUGGACUCUCCCAUUGAAAGGCCCGAACUAAAAAAUGUCUUCAAAGACCCAGCGCAGCAGUCUAGCGUCGAGGAAGAAUUUGACCUGAGCUUCCUACCUAAAGCUUACAUAACAGACACCCAAGGCCCUCCUGACCUUCAUUCUGAGCUCACUCCUUCUCCUGCCCCUCCUGCUGGUUUGGACUCUCCCUCUCCCUCUGACACUAAAGAGAAGGAUUUGAAGACCAAGCAGGCCCCAUGUGGUGGUGACCUGGCGCUCCCAGAGGUAGUCGACAGCUCAGGAGACUCUGAGGACACCGUCAUCGAGGACACAGCCUCUGUUCCUGGCCCCUCUUUGUCAAGUGAUGCUACACCUUCCCACAAACCCUCUGUUCCUUCUCUCCCUACUGAAGAAAGGGAAACCCCGCCAGCAAAGCAGCCAAUGCAGGUUCCUACCAUCAAUGUUAUUGAGACGGACGAGCCGAAUUACAGCGAUGAGGAGAUGGAGAUUGAAAUGGAGGACGAAAGUUAUGAAGUUGUAGAAGACCCUGUAAAAGAGGCACCAAAAACGCCUGAGCCACAACCAGAUGUGACUAAAAAGGAAUUUUCCCAAAUUCCUCCCUUAGAAUAUGAGGGUUAUUCUCCUCCCUCCUCUCCUGUCGACUCUGAAUACUCACCUAAACACAAGAUCCUGAAAUCUGAAUUGGAUACAGAUAAUAUGAAUACCACAGUACCUAAUGAUGAGUCAAAGGGCUCAAGUGCUGAGGUUUCACAAGCACAGAAAGUGGAGUCUGACCAAUCACAGACUCCCAAUGAGUCUAAUGGAAAGUCUUCCCCUUCCACUGCCAAACCUUCUUCUGAGAAAACCGCAGGGAACCUUUCAGACUUUCCAGAAUAUGAUGAAGAUGACUGGUCAACUGGCGCGCAAGAUAUCUUAAUUAAAUCGAGCUCUGCUGAUAUUGCAGCUCAGGAUCUUCCACUUUGCCCCUCAUCCAAGUUUGAAGAGAAGCCAGAGUCUGAUAUUAAAGAGGAUUAUAUGCAGACAGUUGAGCUUUCAAAAUCCAACUACAUGGAGGAUGACGCAAUCCGUAAAUAUGACCGACAGUCUUUUGAGGAUGACGACGCACUACCAUCCAUGAAUGACACCAUUGGUGAUAAAGAGCUGAACUUUAACACUGUACGUGAGCCUUCUCCUUCCGAUCCAACCUCACAGAUCCAUAUUGGAACACUACUCCCUCAAAACAAUGCAACCACUGUGGAGCAGGAUAUCCCCUCGAUGGCUGAAGAGGACUCCUUCUCCAAGCUAGUUGGAGGCCAGCCGUCUCCCAGGGAGUUUCCCAAAGAUCCACUCACCUCUUUCCAGAGUGAACUGCCUGGCAGCACCCUGGAGCCCAAGACUGAGAAGAAAUUGAACGAUGAAAUCCUCAUUACAGAUAGCAUUGUCAACAGCGAGACACUUCCACCUCAGGAAGCUGAAGCAGGACACCAGUCAACAGACAAUACCAGUGACCCAGAAAGCAUUGAGCCGGACUGCUCAGUCUCUGGUGCCACGGACAGCUUCGUCGAGUUCAUGAGGGAGUGCCUGAAGUCACGACAGGACGAAGAUCCAGAAGACCUCCAUCAAGAUCUCACAGCCAAGGAUGAGUGUCCUAAAACGGGCGCCCCUCCCUCCCAGUCCACACCGACCAUGGUCAUGGAUCUGGAGCAGGAACGCCUCACUAUCAAUGCACUCAAAGAGUUGGGCAGCAGCCAAGAGGAGGAGGCUGACCUCCAGUCUAGUAUCAAGGCUUCUGAGAAAUCCCAGUCUUCCUUUAUAUCGACAACCUCCGACCCUCCUUCUCCCCAAAACAAACCUGCUUCCGACGGUGUAUAUUCCAAAGAGGUAGAGGUCAUCGACGUGUGGGUGGCAGAGGCCUACCACCUCGCAGAGCAUGUCUUGGCAGCAAUACUAACGCACUUGUCAGGUAACAUCUCUUCCCUCUGGGAUCUAUGCCUGCUAACCUCACACAAGCAAAGCACAAUGAUCACUCUUCCCCUCUCUCUCUCACUUGCACCUUUCUCCCAUCUUGGUCCUCCUAUUCAAAAUAGGAGCACACUAACUAUAUAAUCACCAUGUUGAUUUUCUUUUUUAUUCUGAUACAGGCACCAUGGCUGUAUUACUGAAAUAUUUAUCUUACAGUCAAGCUUUCUGAAGGUCUCCACGUUCAGAGUGCAGUUAUUACGGAAGUCAAAAUGGUCAAACUAUAUAUUGUGCUGUGUGUGUAUUUUCAAAAUGACCCCCCCCCAUGUCCUUAAGCUUGGCAGUAAUCAUGGUCGGACAGUGGGUGGUGGGCAGUUCAGACGUGGCGUCCUGGUGUCUGCUUGCAAUGUCCCUGGAAGUCAGGCGGAAUAGUCGAUCCACCAGUGUUGGGUUUCUGCUUUGGGCGACGUUCCACGCCACAGUGCACUUGCACAGGACGGGAGACAAUCAUUCCAGAGACUGAUGGUCAUUUUGAAGGAGCGGACUUUACUUAACCUUUUCUUUUAUGAUGAUGUCAUUCAUUAUUAUGAUCCUGCUGAAUUGGAUGUUAGAAAGCAUGACCAGACUCAGAGAGAAUUAUGCGAUAAAUGCUCUGAUAUUCAUGGGUUGUGGGCUGCUCUCAGAUCUGUAUGUGCCUAAGUGUGAGUUGGCAAAAGUCCAUACAGAUGGGACCAGGCUAGGGGGCAUUGGUCCUCUUUUUAUUUUGUGUGACAAUUGUCACAGUAGGCUGAGAUGCAGGGUACCAAUCGCUCUAAUUACUCUUGUCCUCUCCUCUUGAAUCAUGGUACAGCACCCCCCCCCUCCUUCCCUUAUCUGGAAAAUUAUAUGCCGUGUGUGUGGCCAAUUUGGUAUUAAUCGUACAAAGGACUUCUGCUCAAUAUCUAUCUCAAAUCGUCAAAUCGAAUGUUAUUUGUCACAUGCACCGAAUACAACAGGUGUAGACCUUACAGUGAAAUGCUUAUUUACCAGCCCCUAACCAACAAUGCAGUUUCAGAAAGUAUUUACAAAAAUUAACUGAAGUUAAAAAAAAACUGUUUUGACAUAUCCAAUAUUGCAUACGUUAUCACUGCUGUCAUUGUUACAUACCGUCUAACAAGCUGUUAAGUCUAUUCAUAUACAUUUACUGUAAUGGUCGUCUGCUUUUGAUUUACCCAGUGGCAGGCUAGCCCUCUACUUCACAGUGUAGAGUUAAAGCAAAUAGGGGACCUCUUCCUAUUCUCUUGCCGCUCAGUGCAAAAAUGAAAUCCAAACCUGGCACACAUUGACUGGUAUGCAGACGAGUGAAUGCAGGAUGCACUCAAACCCGUACAGUCGCUGCGAGCUUAACCUACACCACGGGCAUGCUAUGGAAUGGUAGGUCAUCACUGAGGCAACCAGUAACUAGGGGAAGGCGUAUGCCAUGCAGUCGUGGAGGGAAUGAUAAAGAAUAUUACAGUCAAGUACUGUUUGAAAGAUGCUUUAGCACAAUGUGUAUAUAGUAAAGGUUGCAUUUUUAUUCUAACAUAUUGAUCAAUAAUGCACUAUAUAUACGGAGUUUACCCAACAUUGGCAGCGCCUUCCUCAUAUUGAGUCCCCCACCCCUUUUGCCCUCAGAACAGCCUCAAUGCAUCUGGGCAUAGACUCUACAAGUUGUCAAAAGCAUUCCACAGGGAUGCUGGCCCAUGUUGACUCCAAUGCUUCCCACAGUUGUCAUGUUGGCUGGAUAUCCUUUGGGCAGUGGACCAUUCUUGAUACACGGGAAACUGUUGAGCGUGAAAAACCCAGCAGCAUUGCAUUUCUUGACACAAACCGAUGAGCCUGGCACCUACUACCAUACCCUGUUCGAAGGCACUUCAAUAUUUUGUCUUGCCCAUUCCUCUUCUGAAUGGCACACGUACACAAGCCAUGUCUCAAGGCUUAAAUCCUUCUUUAACCCGUCUCCUCCCCUUCAUCUACAGUGAUUUGAAGUGGAUUUAACAAGUGACAUCCAUAAGGGAUGAUCGAUUGACCAGGUGGCUCCAGGUGAACACUGUUCAAUGGAAGGAGCAGGUGUUCAUAAUGUUGACUAGUGGUUACUGUAUAUUUGAAGACCAACAUUUUAAAAAGCAUAGCUUAAAUAUCUGGGUCUAUUUUUCUCUCAAUCUCCUACAUGUAUAGGAUUUCUCUUUUUAAGUGGCAUUUUUUUCCAUUUGAACCUUGUCCUGUCCCUCAGCUUCCACAGUGUUGCUGCCUCAACUCGGCUGGUUAUAAGGCGUGGAAUGCCUGGCUAGGUGAGUUAAGUUUAUUUUAGUUGGCUUGGCUCCAUUGUUGAUAAUUGCAGAGUGGGUAUACCAGUUUUCCAUCAAUGGGCCUCCAAAAGAAAUGGAUAUACUCCUGCUGAUGUGAAUCAGUCAUCUUCCCAAAUAGGGUACACAUUUGGACUGUGGUAUCUUGGGCUAGUAAGAAAAUCUUGACUUGCUGCCAGGCCUUUAAAGAUAAGUUCAAAUCAGGCAGUCCAAUUUCAGUAAGAUUUGUGUUAAUCCUGUGUUUAUGUGGACUGUGAGGGAUGGGGCCAGCCUGCCAGUCAGUCGGAAGGAAGUGGAUCAUGUGAAGACUAGAAUAAAAGUUACCCACCCAUGCCAAUGUGUGUAGUCACCUAUGGUAUUUGAAUUGCAUAAUGAAGUUUUAGCAGCUGGUUUAGCUUCACAGGAGUAAAGAAUUCCAGUCUGUGUCCAGGCUGUUGUAUUAGGUCAAACACACACACGUACUGCCAAGCAGCAGGAGGUGGUGUGGUGCCUGUACCUUUAAGAGCUGCUUGCUGUCCAGUGAGGUAGAAAGCAGCUCGGAUAAUGAACGAGGGCCGUCUGCCCAGGCUGCCUCCCUGUGGGUACCAGCAAGCAUGCUGGGAGGGACUCGGGACCCCUGCAGUGCUGGGUGAGGAAACCCCAGUUGUUCACUCGGUGCUGCUCAGCAGAUAGUCAGGCGGCAUCAGGAACAUUAGAGUGCUGUCUGGCCUCCUGCAACAGGGGCGCUGCUGCUCUGCUCUGUCAUCAAGGACUUGGUGCACUGGCGAGACCCCAAGAAGUCUGGCGUGGUGUUCGGCCUGUCCCUGCUGACGCUCCUGUCCCUGGCGGCGUUCAGCGUCAUCAGCGUUGUCUCCUACCUGCUCCUCGCCCUGCUCUGUGUCACCAUCUCCUUCCGCAUCUACAAGGCUGUCGUCCAGGCCGUGCAGAAGUCCGAUGACGGACACCCCUUCAA